rnacentral:rRNA from 1 species
AGAGUUUGAUCCUGGCUCAGGAUGAACUCUGGCGGCGUGCUUAACACAUGCAAGUCGAACGAAGCGUCAGGACGGAUUCCUUCGGGAAGAAGACCUGAUUGCUUAGUGGCGGACGGGUGAGUAACGCGUGGGUAACCUACCUUACAUUGGGGGAUAACGAUUGGAAACGAUCGCUAAUACCGCAUAAGACCACAGUACCGCAUGAUACAGAGGUAAAAGAUUUAUUGAUGUAAGAUGGACCCGCGUCUGAUUAGAUAGUUGGCGGGGCAACGGCCCUCCAAGUCUGCGAUCAGUAGCCGGACUGAGAGGUUGAACGGCCACAUUGGAACUGAGAUACGGUCCAGACUCCUACGGGAGGCAGCAGUGGGGAAUAUUGGGCAAUGGGCGCAAGCCUGACCCAGCGACGCCGCGUGAAGGAAGAAGGCCCUCGGGUUGUAAACUUCAGUCAACAGGGAAGAAACAAAUGACGGUACCUGUGGAGGAAGCCACGGCUAACUACGUGCCAGCAGCCGCGGUAAUACGUAGGUGGCAAGCGUUAUCCGGAUUUACUGGGUGUAAAGGGUGUGUAGGCGGGUUUGCAAGUCAGAUGUGAAAAUUAUGGGCUCAACUCAUAACUUGCAUUUGAAACUGUAGAUCUUGAGUGUCGGAGAGGUAAAUGGAAUUCCCAGUGUAGCGGUGAAAUGCGUAGAUAUUGGGAGGAACACCAGUGGCGAAGGCGAUUUACUGGACGAUUACUGACGCUGAGACACGAAAGUGUGGGGAGCAAACAGGAUUAGAUACCCUGGUAGUCCACACUGUAAACGAUGAAUGCUAGGUGUGAGGGCGAUUAAGUCUUCGUGCCGCAGUUAACACAAUAAGCAUUCCACCUGGGGAGUACGACCGCAAGGUUGAAACUCAAAGGAAUUGACGGGGACCCGCACAAGCAGUGGAGUAUGUGGUUUAAUUCGAAGCAACGCGAAGAACCUUACCAAGGCUUGACAUAUAAGUGCAUACAGCUUAAUCGCUUAAACCCUUCGGGGCGCUUAUACAGGUGGUGCAUGGUUGUCGUCAGCUCGUGUCGUGAGAUGUUGGGUUAAGUCCCGCAACGAGCGCAACCCCUGUUGUUAGUUGCCAUCAUUCAGUUGGGCACUCUAACGAGACUGCCGGUGAUAAAUCGGAGGAAGGUGGGGACGACGUCAAAUCAUCAUGCCCCUUAUGUCUUGGGCUACACACGUACUACAAUGGCUGUUACAGAAGGAAGCUAAGGAGCAAUCCGGAGCGAAUCCCCAAAGGCAGUCUCAGUUCGGAUUGUGGGCUGCAACCCGCCCACAUGAAGUCGGAAUUGCUAGUAAUUGCAGGUCAGCAUACUGCAGUGAAUACGUUCCCGGGUCUUGCACUCACCGCCCGUCA